rnacentral:rRNA from 1 species
AUUGAACGCUGGCGGCAUGCCUUACACAUGCAAGUCGAACGGUAACAGGUUAAGCUGACGAGUUGCGAACGGGUGAGUAAUGUAUCGGAACGUGCCCAGUCGUGGGGGAUAACUGCUCGAAAGAGCAGCUAAUACCGCAUACGACCUGAGGGUGAAAGCGGGGGAUCGCAAGACCUCGCGCGAUUGGAGCGGCCGAUAUCAGAUUAGGUAGUUGGUGAGGUAAAGGCUCACCAAGCCGACGAUCUGUAGCUGGUCUGAGAGGACGACCAGCCACACUGGGACUGAGACACGGCCCAGACUCCUACGGGAGGCAGCAGUGGGGAAUUUUGGACAAUGGGCGCAAGCCUGAUCCAGCCAUGCCGCGUGCGGGAAGAAGGCCUUCGGGUUGUAAACCGCUUUUGUCAGGGAAGAAAAGGUUCUGGCUAAUACCUGGGACUCAUGACGGUACCUGAAGAAUAAGCACCGGCUAACUACGUG